rnacentral:rRNA from 1 species
UACGUAGGGUGCGAGCGUUAAUCGGAAUUACUGGGCGUAAAGCGUGCGCAGGCGGUUUUGUAAGCCAGAUGUGAAAUCCCCGGGCUUAACCUGGGAAUGGCAUUUGGGACUGCAAGGCUUGAGUGCGGCAGAGGAGACUGGAAUUCCUGGUGUAGCAGUGAAAUGCGUAGAUAAUCAGGAGGAACACCGAUGGCGAAGGCAGGUCUCUGGGCUGACACUGACGCUCAUGCACGAAAGCGUGGGGAG